rnacentral:rRNA from 1 species
AUUGAACGCUCGCUGGAUGCCUUACACAUGCAAGUCUAACGGAGUGGCGGACGGGUGCGUAAUGUCUCGGAACCUGCCCAGGAUCGGGGGAUAACUACUCGAGAUGGUGGCUAAUACCGCCUACUAUCGGAUGGGCCGAAAUGGGAUUAGCUAGUUGGUGGGGUAACGGCUCACCAAGGCAACGAUCCGUAGCUGGUUUGAGAGGAGGACCAGCCACACUGGGAUUGAGACACGGCCCAGACUCCUACGGGAGGCAGCAGUGGGGAAUUUUGGAAAAUGGGGGAAACCCUGAUCCAGCCAUCCCGCGUGUAUGAUGAAGGCCUUCGGGUUGUAAAGUACUUUUGGCAGAGAAGCGUUAUCUGCAGAAUAAGCACCGGCUAACUCCGUGCCAGCAGCCGCGGUAAUUC